UACGUAGGGAGCAAGCGUUGUCCGGAAUCAUUGGGCGUAAAGCGCGCGUAGGUGGCCUCAUAAGUCCGCUGUGAAAGUCAAAGGCUCAACCUUUGAAAGCCGGUGGAUACUGUGAGGCUAGAGUACGGAAGAGGCGAGUGGAAUUCCUGGUGUAGCGGUGAAAUGCGCAGAUAUCAGGAAGAACACCCGUGGCUAAGGCGGCUCUCUAGUACGGUACUGACGCUGAGACGCGAAAGCGUGGGGAGCGAACAGG
rnacentral:rRNA from 1 species